AUGGGGGAGGAAAAAAAAAAAAAAAAAAAGGCAAAGGGAAAAAAAAAAAAAAAAAAAAAAAGGCAAGAAGAAGCAGAGAGGAAAAAGCCGCUGGGAUGGGUCACAAUUCGCAUCCCUCCCCCACCACCUCUUCUAACAAAAAAAAAUCCAACUCUGGAGGGAAUCAGAGAUGCCCUGACUGCAAGCUCCAGCCUUGCAGCCUUGCAGCAGCGGGGCCGGGUGUCCCGGGGUCCCUGGGUCCCGGGUUCCCGGCUCCCCGCACCGCGCCCCCUCCGGGCCGUGCCGGUGCCGAGCCUCGCCCGAGCCUCGCAACCUCUCCGGGAUCCAGCAGCCUCCUCCUCUCUCCCGGCCAGGAGGCAAAGCCCCAAAGCCUCGGGGAGGACACCCGGCGCCUUUCGCAUCCUCCCUCCGCCGCCGCGGAGUUUGCGCGGAGGCGGAGGGCGGCCGCGCCCGCGGAGGGCAGCGCUGCCGGCCGGCAUCUCCCCCCCCCUCCGCGGGGGAGCCGCAGGAAGAGGUGGAGCCAAGGAGAUAGGCCAGGCUGCCAAGUGUUUUCUGCAUCUCACCAAUAUGGACCUGCAGUGGAAACCUUGGGAGCCGUUCUGCCUUGGGCGGUCUCCUGAAGAUGUGUGA
ensembl:lncRNA